rnacentral:lncRNA from 1 species
GUUAAGAAAGUGAGAGGAGUAAGAGGCACAAAAUUAGCUCCAUUUUUAGGUAACCUGUCCAUGGGAUCCAAAAGCCAAAGCUGAAUUACUUUCUAUUAAUAAUCCUACGUUUUUAGAAAAGGUUUGCUGCUUUGUAUAUAGAGAGCUAAAGAUAGGCUUUGUAGUUUGUGUAAGAGAUGCAGCAGUUAGGUUAUGUUUAUAUAGAGAGAAAAGUGGUAGUUAGUCCCAUGUCCAUGUGGUCCCUUAAAUGGUUGUUUAGAUGGAAAUAAUUGGG